UGGGGAAUAUUGGACAAUGGGGGGAACCCUGAUCCAGCAAUGCCGCGUGUGUGAAGAAGGCCUGAGGGUUGUAAAGCACUUUCAGAGGGGAGGAGGACUAUUAGGUUAAGAGCUAGAUAGUUGGACGUUACCCUCAGAAGCAGCACCGGCUAACUCCGUGCCAGCAGCCGCGGUAAUACAGAGGUGGCAAGCGUUGUUCGGAAUUACUGGGCGUAAAGGGCGCGUAGGCGGCCCUCUAAGUCAGACGUGAAAUCUCCCGGCUUAACCUGGGAACUGCGUCUGAUACUGGAGGGCUUGAGUAUGGGAGAGGGAUGUAGAAUUCCAGGUGUAGCGGUGAAAUGCGUAGAUAUCUGGAGGAAUACCGGUGGCGAAGGCGGCAUCCUGGACCAUUACUGACGCUGAGGCGCGAAAGCUAGGGGAGCAAACGGGAUUAGAUACCCCCGUAGUCCCUGAGCGGGCUGGCAAGGCGCAU
rnacentral:rRNA from 1 species